UCAAACUUGGUCAUUUAGAGGAAGUAAAAGUCGUAACAAGGUUUCCGUAGGUGAACCUGCGGAAGGAUCAUUAAUGAAUUUAAUGUGGAGUUGGUUGUAGCUGGCCCGCUGGAUUUUUUAAAUAAAUUCCUUUGGACAUGUGCACGCCUUCUCUUUCAUCCACACACACCUGUGCACCUGUGAGGCAGAUGUGGGGACUUUAUUGUACCCUCUCUGUCUACUUAAUUCACACAAACUCAAUUUAUUUUAAAAUGAAUGUAAUUGAUGUAACGCAUCUAAUACUAAGUUUCAACAACGGAUCUCUUGGCUCUCGCAUCGAUGAAGAACGCAGC
rnacentral:misc_RNA from 1 species